CUGACCUCGGAUCAGG
rnacentral:rRNA from 1 species